rnacentral:rRNA from 1 species
UUGGGUUUACCCGAAGGUGGUGCGCCAACCUGUAAAGGAGGCAGCCAACCACGGUAGGCUCAGCGACUGGGGUGAAGUCGUAACAAGGUAGCCGUAGGUGAACCUGCAGAAGGAUCA